ACGCACGCUGGCGGCGUGCUUCACCCCUGCCAGUCGCACGGAAAGGCCCUGCUUGCAGGGUACUCGAGUGGCGAACGGGUGAGUAACACGUGGGUGAUCUGCCCUGCACUUCGGGAUAAGCCUGGGAAACUGGGUCUAAUACCGGAUAGGAGCCAUUUUUAGUGUGAUGGUUGGAAAGUUUUUUCGGUGUAGGAUGAGCUCGCGGCCUAUCAGCUUGUUGGUGGGGUAAUGGCCUACCAAGGCGGCGACGGGUAGCCGGCCUGAGGGGGUGGACGGCCACAUUGGGACUGAGAUACGGCCCAGACUCCUACGGGAGGCAGCAGUGGGGAAUAUUGCACAAUGGGCGCAAGCCUGAUGCAGCGACGCCGCGUGGGGGAUGACGGCCUUCGGGUUGUAAACUCCUUUCGCUAGGGACGAAGCUUUUUGUGACGGUACCUAGAUAAGAAGCACCGGCUAACUACGUG
rnacentral:rRNA from 1 species